rnacentral:rRNA from 1 species
UACGGGGGGGGGCAAGCGUUGUUCGGAAUUACUGGGCGUAAAGGGCUCGUAGGUGGCCAACUAAGUCAGACGUGAAAUCCCUCGGCUUAACCGGGGAACUGCGUCUGAUACUGGAUGGCUUGAGUUUGGGAGAGGGAUGCGGAAUUCCAGGUGUAGCGGUGAAAUGCGUAGAUAUCUGGAGGAACACCGGUGGCGAAGGCGGCAUUCUGGACCGACAUUGACGCUGAGGAACGAAAGCCAGGGGAGCAAACGGG